AGAUUGAACGCUAGCGGCAUGCCUAACACAUGCAAGUCGAACGGUAACAGGCCCUUCGGGGUGCUGACGAGUGGCGGACGGGUGAGUAAUGCGUAGGAAUCUACCCACGAGCGGGGGAUAGCCCGGAGAAAUCCGGAUUAAUACCGCAUAUGCCCUACGGGUAAAGCGGGGAGUCGUAAGACCUCGCGCUCGGUGGAAUGAGCCUAACGUCCGAUUAGUUAGUUGGUGGGUAAAGGCCUACCAAGGCUACGA
rnacentral:rRNA from 1 species